rnacentral:rRNA from 1 species
AGAGUUUGAUCCUGGCUCAGAUUGAACGCUGGCGGCAUGCCUUACACAUGCAAGUCGAACGGCAGCACGGGAGCAAUCCUGGUGGCGAGUGGCGAACGGGUGAGUAAUAUAUCGGAACGUGCCCAGUCGUGGGGGAUAACGCAGCGAAAGCUGUGCUAAUACCGCAUACGAUCUACGGAUGAAAGCGGGGGAUCGCAAGACCUCGCGCGAUUGGAGCGGCCGAUAUCAGAUUAGGUUGUUGGUGGGGUAAAAGCCCACCAAGCCGACGAUCUGUAGCUGGUCUGAGAGGACGACCAGCCACACUGGAACUGAGACACGGUCCAGACUCCUACGGGAGGCAGCAGUGGGGAAUUUUGGACAAUGGGCGCAAGCCUGAUCCAGCAAUGCCGCGUGCAGGAUGAAGGCCUUCGGGUUGUAAACUGCUUUUGUACGGAACGAAACGGCCUACUCUAAUACAGUGGGCUAAUGACGGUACCGUAAGAAUAAGCACCGGCUAACUACGUGCCAGCAGCCGCGGUAAUACGUAGGGUGCGAGCGUUAAUCGGAAUUACUGGGCGUAAAGCGUGCGCAGGCGGUUAUAUAAGACAGAUGUGAAAUCCCCGGGCUCAACCUGGGACCUGCAUUUGUGACUGUAUAGCUAGAGUGCGGCAGAGGGGGAUGGAAUUCCGCGUGUAGCAGUGAAAUGCGUAGAUAUGCGGAGGAACACCGAUGGCGAAAGCAAUCCCCUGGGCCUGCACUGACGCUCAUGCACGAAAGCGUGGGGAGCAAACAGGAUUAGAUACCCUGGUAGUCCACGCCCUAAACGAUGUCAACUGGUUGUUGGGUCUUCACUGACUCAGUAACGAAGCUAACGCGUGAAGUUGACCGCCUGGGAGUACGGCCGCAAGGU